GCCUGGGUGGCUCAGUCGGUUGAGCGUCCGACUUCGGCUCAGGUCAUGAUCUCGCGGUCCGUGAGUUCGAGCCCCGCAUCAGGCU
rfam:Felis catus isolate Cinnamon breed Abyssinian chromosome F1, whole genome shotgun sequence.